GACGAACGCUGGCGGCGUGCUUAACACAUGCAAGUCGAACGGAGUGGCGAACGGGUGAGUAACACGUGGGUGAUCUGCCUUGCACUUGGGGAUAAGCUUGUGAAACUGGGUCUAAUACCGGAUAGUGCAAGAUGAGCUCGCGGCCUAUCAGCUUGUUGGUGGGGUAAUGGGCUACCAAGGCGUCGACGGGUAGCCGGCCUGAGAGGGUGUACGGGCUCAGUGGGCCUGGGAUAGGGCCCAGACUGCAACGGGAGGCAGCAGUGGGGAAUAUUGCACAAUGGGCGGACGCGUGAUGGAGCGACGCCGGGUGGGGGAGGAAGGCCUUCGGGUUGUAAACUCAUUACGACAGGGACGCGGUACCUGUAUAAGAAGCAACGGCUAACUACGUGCCAGCAGCCGCGGUAAUUC
rnacentral:rRNA from 1 species